rnacentral:rRNA from 1 species
UACGGGGGGGGCAAGCGUUGUUCGGAAUUACUGGGCGUAAAGGGCUCGUAGGCGGCCAACUAAGUCGGAUGUGAAAUCCCCAGGCUCAACCUGGGAACUGCAUCCGAUACUGGAUGGCUUGAGUUUGGGAGAGGGAUGCGGAAUUCCAGGUGUAGCGGUGAAAUGCGUAGAUACUGGGAGGAACACCGGUGGCGAAGGCGGCUACCUGGACCGGUUCUGACGCUGAGGCGCGAAAGCGUGGGUAGCAAACAGG